GACAGAGGGUGCGAACGUUGCUCGGAAUUACUGGGCGUAAAGCGCGUGUAGGCAGACUGGUAAGUCGGACGUGAAAUCCCUGGGCUCAACCCAGGAACUGCAUCCGAAACUAUCAGUCUGGAGUGGUGGAGAGGAAAGCAGAAUUCCUGGUGUAGAGGUGAAAUUCGUAGAUAUCAGGAGGAACACCGGUGGCGAAGGCGGCUUUCUGGACACUAACUGACGCUGAGACGCGAAAGCGUGGGGAGCAAACAGG
rnacentral:rRNA from 1 species